rfam:Aedes albopictus isolate Foshan contig49434, whole genome shotgun sequence.
UGCCCAGCAACUCCUAUCCCUAACUCCACGCGGUACCGGCCGGAAACUAUGAGCAACCUUAGGGAAGAUCGGGUAACCAACCCCGGUGGGAACUUUGGUCGUAGGCUGACAGGGAAGG